GUCGAACGGCAGCACAGGAGAGCUUGCUCUCUGGGUGGCGAGUGCCGUACGGGUGAGGAAUACAUCGGAAUCUACUUUUUCGUGGCGGAUAACGUAGGGAAACUUACGCUAAUACCGCAUACGACCUACGGGUGAAAGCAGGGGAUCUUCGGACCUUGCGCGAUUGAAUGAGCCGAUGUCGGAUUAGCUAGUUGGCGGGGUAAAGGCCCACCAAGGCGACGAUCCGUAGCUGGUCUGAGAGGAUGAUCAGCCACACUGGAACUGAGACACGGUCCAGACUCCUACGGGAGGCAGCAGUGGGGAAUAUUGGACAAUGGGCGCAAGCCUGAUCCAGCCAUACCGCGUGGGUGAAGAAGGCCUUCGGGUUGUAAAGCCCUUUUGUUGGGAAAGAAAUCCAGCUGGCUAAUACCCGGUUGGGAUGACGGUACCCAAAGAAUAAGCACCGGCUAACUUCGUGCCAGCAGCCGCGGUAAUACGAAGGGUGCAAGCGUUACUCGGAAUUACUGGGCGUAAAGCGUGCGUAGGUGGUCGUUUAAGUCCGUUGUGAAAGCCCUGGGCUCAACCUGGGAACUGCAGUGGAUACUGGGCGACUAGAGUGUGGUAGAGGGUAGCGGAAUUCCUGGUGUAGCAGUGAAAUGCGUAGAGAUCAGGAGGAACAUCCAUGGCGAAGGCAGCUACCUGGACCAACACUGACACUGAG
rnacentral:rRNA from 1 species